UUACGGGUGANCACAGUGGUUAGUGCACUCUGCCGGAAACAGAAAGACGCGGGUUCAAUUCCCGUCCCAUGUC
rfam:Nippostrongylus brasiliensis genome assembly, scaffold: NBR_scaffold0008868